GAGUUCGAGCCAUAGAGGAAGUGGGGGAGAGGAGGGAGAGCAGCAAGUCUCACCCGGUGGCUGUUGGAUGAGGGAGGACCGAGCCCUGGCAGGGCCCCGGUUCCACACCAGGCGCAGUCCGGACUCGGGCGCAGCGCCCGCCCCGGAUUGGCUCCUCCCGCCUGCGGCGAUCCAGCCCCGGUCGUUCCGCGGGGGCGCGGCGGGCGGGAGUCCCCGGGGUUCGGGCACGGGGGAGGUGGGCGCUGCUCUGCCCAGGAGGGUGCAGUGACCUCGGGGUUCCGGGGCGGGGAAGAUCCGCACCCCCGGGGCGCUGUGGGGCCGGGACCGUGCCGGAGCGCGCUGCUGCCCGGCGGGGCCCCCUGCACUCGCGCCGCCGCCUCGUGUCCGCCAGGCGGCGCCCCACGGGCCGGGGCCGCGGGCGGCGCUGAGGGAGCGGCGGCGUCGGGAGGGUCCCGGGGCUGGCACGGGCGGUGCCCGCGCCCGGCCGCUCCUCCAUUGCUUUGCAUUCCCUUGCAUGCCUAUGCCCCACAUUUGACCUGCCUACAGUUUUCCUCCAGAGCUUUGCCUUGCCUAGCCCUUCCUGUUACCGUUGCUUCCUAUGCCCAGCCUUGCCUCUGAUUUCUGGGCCUUCUCUCACCUGCCGCCCCAUUUGCUUUCCCCUCACGGCUCCAGUCUUGCCAUCCUCUCCCUUGACUUGCCUACAAUUGCCUAAACUUGCUUUGCAUUGCCUUACCUGCAUGGAAGGCAAGGCAAAGAGUGGUAGGCAAGGCAAAGCAAAGCCAGGAAGUAGGGCCAGGCAAGGUAGACGUAGGGAAGCAAAGGGUAGGCUAGGAAAACUAGGCAUGGUACUGGAGGCAAGGCAAAGCCAAAUUACUUGGAGUGCCUUUCCUUGGGAAGUAAAAUAUAUGGUGGCAAUGUUGGUAGGACAGCUGAUAAGGUACCGUGGGGAAGUAUAGUCCAGCAAGACAUUUCUGUCCUGGCCCCUUAUGUGUAGGAGCCAUUGCUGGACAUAGGACUGGAUGUGGUAUGCAACUUUUGCUUGAUAAGUUCCUGAAGGAGAACAGCAAUGCUUUCUCAUGGGAAGGAAAGAGCUUAGCCCCGGUGUUGGAGGUGCAGAUAAGAAGCUGUGUCAUGCAGCUUAAGGGCAACUUUCUAUCCUGGCAUAUUUGGUUUGGAAGCACUGACUCAGUUUGUGCAAUCAUGGAGUUGAUAUCCAUCUUUGGAAGGCCGUCUCCCUCCUGAGAGAAUCCAUUUGACAUGUGUUUUCCACUUCCUCAAGGCAGCCUUCUUGAAAUUCUGCCAGCACACUUCUUUUGAAAAAGCCUGUAUGCUGCAGCCACCAGUCCGGUGCUCUGUAGCUUUGUUCUUCAACUCUUGUAACCUGUCCUGCUUUUACUCUCCCGGACGAGAAUAGGCAUCUAUUUCUCGCACAGAUCAUUGUGGCGGCAGCACAGGGAUCUAGUGCACUGCUUCUGCCAAAAGACGCUCAGGCCAGGCACUUACAUUCUCAGCACUACUAUGUAUUUUGCAUCUCUUGCCAUCUGAAUCAUAUCGGAAAGCAUUUCACAGAGAGAAAAUGUGCCAGGACAACAAGCUUGGCUGGAGAGUACCCCUGAAACUGGUGGAAAUUUGUAUUUGCACCACAUUCAAGAGGCAGUCCUCUUUCCUCUACAACCUGCAAACCGUGUCAGAUCUCAGUGCUCUCUGCCUGCUCCUUCUUAACUUGAAGUACCAGUGCGCACAUUACAGCGUCGCAAGAACAAAAGAUCUGGAGGGGUGUCACAGUGCAUUUGUGUUGCACAGAUGCUGAAAAGUGGAAAAGCUGAAUGCCUUCGCUGAGCUUCAGUUCUGUGCAGAUCACAGAGUGAAGCGGCAGAGUUGUGUGCAGUGUACCUGUCCUGGAUUGUCAAGGAAAUUUUAUUCCAUUUGCCAUCUGUAUGGCAGUUAAGUGGGCAGUUCUCCUUAUCUCUUCCACAACAGUUCUUCUGUUAAGUGGGCAGUUCUUCUUAUCUCUUCCACAACCACUCCUCCCACUGGGGAGACAUCUGCUGAUAAUAGGCUAUUGAAUGUCACUGCAUGACUGAUAAGAACUAUAGCAUCCCAUUGUGAGAUGCUCCACCCAGAGGGAAGAGCCAAGCAUUGCUACCCGAGAAAUAAUCUGGAGAUUCUGGAACACCAGCAUGGCUUCACCACUGGAUUUCCCAGAGGAACAGCUGCCUCUUCUUCCACUGGGUCUUCAGAGGAAGACUACACCCUUUUCUACAGGAUCCCUGCUCCAACAGAACCACACCUGACACUCCAGGAGGACUGCAGCCACAUUUCCAACUGGACUGCUACUACCACCCUGACUACACCCUGAGGGUGUUAGGUUGUGUUCUGACUCAGUCAGUGUUGUUUUAGUUUACUGCAUAGUUUAUUUUUUAAAUUUUCUUCCCUAUUAAAGAACUGUUAUUCCUGCUCCCAUAUUUUUUGCCUGAGAGCCCCCGUAAUUUAAAAUUUAUAGCAGUUCGGAGGGAGAGGGUUUACAUUUUCCAUUUCAGGGGAGGCCCCUGCCUUCCUUAGCAGACUCCUGUCGUUUGAAACCAAGACAGUACCUCAUUGCAGAAGUCAAGCAAGAGCUCCUUCACAGUCACGUAAGAAUAUACCUGUAGCCGUAUAACUUUCUAAUCCAAUGGACAGUCACCAGUUAGUAUGAUUUGCUUUUUUAACCUGUCACCUUUGCUUCUUUCUACUGCAAUGUGGAUACUUUUACCCAGUAAGGUCUGAUUACAUGUACACAUAUAUGUCUCUAUUAUAAUAUCUAAAUUCUCAGCUUAUUCUAUUAGAAUCACACUAUACUAUGAAACCCUUCGUUAUCUUAUCUAAUACAGUUUUCUUACUUACUUAAGGCCUAUUCUUAUUUAUAACUAUAGAAACAUAAGUUGAUGAUUUUUCUGUUCAAUGUCUGUGUGCCUUGCUUUCACAUCAAUCUAGGCUUCUUAUAAGGCUGUAAAUCAAACCCUCUUGAGUCUGUGAAGAUUUCUAUCUUUCCAAUUCCCACACCUCUUCUAAUUCUCGCAGGAAAUUCCAACUUGAGUGUUUUUCAGUAUCUUCAUAAGUGGGCUUUUUCUGGCUAGAUCAUGCAAACACUGCCUGUCUAAGGAAAAAUCGAAUGUCCCAGCUAUGGAACAUGUAGGCAGAAGUUUGUGUGUCAUCAAUGAGAUGUGUGUGCUCACAAACAUAUAGUGAGAGCAGAGUGGUGUUAUGGUGAGGGGUGUGGGUUGGAGACAGAGAUGACACACACUCCAAAGGUCCUUGUAACAAACAGCCUGUUUUAUUUUUCAGGGCUUACUUUUAUAGGGAGUUCAAAACUCCCAGGUCUAGACAGUUCAUUUGGUCUGAUCCUCACACAGCCCAGCUCCUGACUAAUGAGAUAUCUGCGGCCCAGGCUGAAGGUGAUAGGUGCAGGUCCCUGUCUAUCAAACCAGGGCCUCCAAUGGCACAGAGUGGAGUCUGGAACCACUGAUGCAGAGCAAUGUAACAGCAACCCCCAACCAAAACUAAGAACAAAAAGUAUUCCUCAGUAAAAAUUUUUGACAGUAAGACAGAGACACGUGAAGCAAGGAAAAUCUCCUACAGAACAGUUGUGAUUAUGCAUUAAUCUUCAUAGGUGCAAACCCCUUUUUGGAAUAACUUUGCCUUUCCCACAAAUUUAUAGCACCUUGGAGCGAAGGAAAAGGUAUUGACAGGCCACAUUUCAAUAGCACAGCAAUUUCUUGCUUUAUGUGUUAAUCUUUCCACAAACAAAACAAAUGUAGAAUUGUUGAAAAGGGAAGACUUUGCAUGGGUAGGGUGUUGUCUGGGAGCUGAUACUGCAAUGGAUUUGUUACUGGCAUGAGAUGCAUCUGUGUAAUCAGAGUCCUGAUAGCAAACUUGUUGUCAAUGAUGAGUAACGCCAGCUGGAUUAAGACCAUGGUAAUGUAGAUGUCUGAGUGAGGAAAGCAACCAUUAUUUUUAUAGUUAAGGCUAUUAUUAGACAAAGGGUAAACAUGUAAAUGAAAAGUAGACAUUUGAUACACUUCACUGUGUAUCUUCAUUCAAGUCAGUCCUAUAGAAGGGAGAAAUUAACUUAUGGGAAUAUUGCAUGAUUUUAAUGCAGAGUCAGACUCAUCUUUUGUUUCUUUGUUGUGUGCUUGGCAUGGAACAUGCUGCUUUGAAGAGGGAAGUGCCUAACAGACAUUUCACUUUAAAACCACAUAUGCUUCCCUAUUCUUCUGAGACUUCAGCACAGAGCCCUUAUUCACAUGGUAGUUUCCUUCCAUUAGAGGGGAAACUCAUCUAGCCAGGCUUCAUCACUCCCUGCAUCUUUUGGGGUAGUUCUUGGAAGAAAAUAGAUAGCAACAUUUCUACUCCACAUGAUUAAUUUUUCAUCCUCUUCCUAAUGUACUUCAGCGAACAAGCCAUCAAUUCCCUACUGUUUCUAUGAAAAGGCAUGAAGCUAUUAACUGAAUUCCCAUAGAUAAAAUAAGGAAUGAAAGUCUUUUAUGCCUACAAACAUGCCCUUAUCUUAUGAAAAGUAUGGGUUGUCAAGGAUGGAAGAAGAUCUGUAUGAAAAGGGAGAAAACCCAGAAGCAUGCAGGGAUUUUCAGGUGUUAAAGCGAAAACAACAUUAAAUUAUUGACGGAAAGAAAUUGAAAGAGGGAGGAGGGAGGAGGAGGCAAAAGCUGCCCUUGAGGCAGCUGACACAAGGACAGUUUGCCUCAUGAGCAAACAAGAAAACCAAAAGAAACUUCACAACAAUCUCAUCAAAAACUUAGUGGACAAAUGUGUAAACCCAUUUGUUCAUUUAUUAUGUGUAUAAUAUAUAUAGAUAUGUUCUUCAUUCUGACAGAAUUUUCAGGUAGCAAGCUAGUGUAUGGCACCUGGAACCAAUGAUGUAUUGGAAAUGGCCAACAUGCAAAACACAGUUUAUCCUGAACGCUACCAUAGCAGAAUCACAGAAUCGUGGAAUGGCCAGGGUUGAAAAAGACCUUAAAGGCCACCUAGUUGCAAUGCUCUGACAUAGGCAGGGGCACCUCUUAUUUGCCUGGGUUGCUCAUAGCCCCAUACAGCCUAGCCUUAAACACCAGGUUGGGGUGUCCAUACCUUCUCUGGGCAAGCUGUGCCAGUGCCUCACCACCCUCACAGGGAAGAAUUUCUUCCCAGUAUCUAAUUUAAACCUGCCCUCUUUCAGUUUGAAGCCAUCCCCCAUUGUCCUGUCUCCAUAGUUCCUAAUGAAGAGUCCCUCUCCUGCUUCCCUUCAGAUACUGGAAGGUGUUGUGAGGUCUCCAUGCAACCUUCUCUUCAUGAGGCUAAACAGCCCUAAUUCUCUCAGCCUGUGGGAGGUGCUCUAGUCCUGAAUACUCAACAGCAGUAUUGAAUGAUGAAUUUUUUAAUCCUUUGGAGGCAUUUUGGUUUUCAGCCUUAAAUUAGACUAAAUAUCUUUGAUUUAUGGGCAUUGCAAGUGAACAACAGAAACCACUGCCCUGGCUUGCCUUUUCUACAGCUCCUUUCCAUGGGAGACUUGGUGCAAACAUCACAGCCAGUGAGAUAAUGGGCACACCAUAAUUCUGAAAGUGCUUUGCACAGUAAACAUAGAGGGGGAUUAAAUAUUGAAAUGCAGAUGAUAGAAGCUGCCCAAUGGACUGUGCUGGUGGAAAUCUAAUACUAAUCUACUAUUUUGAAUCCAAAUAAUUUCCUUCUGAUGAGGUCAGAGAGGAUUGUUUGCCUUUGAAUCUGAGCACGUGGACAGUAGUGUAUGGUCCACAGGUAGAAAACAGUGCAGAUACUUCUCCUUUUUCUCAUUAAUGGAUCAGAGACUCAAAAGGCAGCUACAAAAUGGUAAAUACAUCCCUAUAGAUUCAAAAAUUGUUGUUAUUAAUUUGCAUCUCCACCACAGCAAGAGAUCGUUAGAACUAAAAUACAGAUGGGAAUUUUACAGCUUCUCAGAAAUGAAGCAUGAACUGUCCAAUGGGCCUUAACAGUAGCUGCAAGCUUUUCAACAUGAGCUGAAAAUCUCAAAAGUAUUUUAACCUUACAGUACUUUUCUGUGUUAUGCUUUGAUCUCAAGGAAGCAUUAAAAAAAAAGAAUAAAAAAAGCACACCAGAUGUAUAUAUUACAUGACUAAAAUAAUAAGCAAAAUCAGUAACAUAUAUAGAAACAGAACCCAUGGUUUUUAACUUUCAACCUUGUCUUCUCAAUACACUCUAAAAUGGAAUUGUUCCCCUAUCUCCCUUGAAACAUUUUGGAGCAAAAAGCACUCUAACCUCCUGAUAGGUGUUUUGUUCAAAAAUUACUUGUUCUGGUUUUCUGUCCAUAAGUGGAGUAACGUGUCUGUGUUGGUAGCUGGCCAAAGGAGGUAGGAAGAGUAAUCAUCACCCACAACACUGGGACUAAAGAAAUUUCCACCCGCCCCAUUACUUUGUCAUGUGUUGGGUUAGAAGUUCAGAGUCUGUUUCCAUUUUUCCCAUCCCCUUAUAUUUCACAGAAUUAGAGCCCCUCAAACAUCAGUCCUGGCAGAACACCCCGCCAUGUGCUGUCAUAGAGGAUCUGCUGAUGUCCACUGCCUCUUACCAGUAUAGUGCUUGACACUGUUGCAGAUCAAGAACUUCUGAAUAGUUUUGGUUAAUGCUCUUUGAGCGGUUGAAAAUAGGAAAAGAAUGACUAGACAUUUUUAUGAUCAAAUCCCCCGAUGGAAUAAAAAUAGGAGUAUAAUAAAUGUAUUAAUUGUCAUAAGAAGGGAGAUAAAGGGUCCAAAAGACUACUUGCAUACUUACUGUUCUAAAUCCCUUGUUAUCUGGCAAAUUGCAAAAGAUUCCAGGCUUUCACCAAAAUGUAAGUCAGAUUAAAAUAUGAAGCCUUACAGUUUACUGGAUAUAAAACUUCAUAAUCCAUUUUUAAAUGUUAGAGAUUGUUAUGUAUUUCCUAUUAAUAUCCUGAGGUUUAGAGCUGCAAUUCAGGGAGAAACAAAUGCUAUUUUGAAUUAAUUCUCUUAAGUCAUCUUGUCUGGACUCUCUCCUCUUGGUUUUAAUUUCUGAAACUCUGUAUGAAAGGCAUAGAGUUCUGGAUUAAUUACUUUCAACAGUUUCCCCUGUAAUUCUUCUUUUAAGGCAAACCUAUAAAAAUUCACUGUUUCUUACCCCACCACUUCUAAAAUUCUAUGGAGAAGCAAAAAAUCCCCCAUCAAACUGAUAGUAUAAAUAUUUCUAAAAUCAUGGAAUAUUCAGGGGAGUUAGAAAGGAAGGAUAGGCCUGGUAGGCCCUAGGAAAAUGUUAAGGUAGGCCCUGGAAAAAUGUUAGGCUGCACCUGUAUAAUCAUUUCAUGACUAUGAUAAAUUAUAUGAUUGUUAAAUACGAUGAUUUUUUGGCAAUUGGACAUAAUUAUUGUUUAAUCAUAACAACAAUAAUGAGAAAUUAUGUUGGGGGUUUGAUGGAAAUUACAAAAAUCCAUGUUUGAAUGAAAUCAACGUAUUCAAAUAGAACAAUAUAAGUUUAAUAAUUAAUGUGUAGUUAUAUAACAAUAACAGUAUAAAAACGUGUUCAUGCCGAACCCAUGUCGGAGUCAGAUUUGGGUCAGUACCCCUGACACCCAGAGCUCUUCAAUAAAAGCACCUGCAUAUAAUCAUUCCAUAAUUAUGUGUUUCUGAAUGCUAACAAAACAACUAAAUCUCUGUACCAAUUAGUAUGAAAAACAGUCCAUUAAUUUCUUUCUUAACAUAUUUUUAUUGUGUAUUAAUAUAGCAACCUUUUCUUGCUUUUAUAGAUUAGAAACAAAUUCUUAAAGCUAUAAGAAAACACAGGUUUACUGUAUCUGAUUCUGAGAUUAUAGAAGUCCAGCAAGGAGUUCAGAUGUCAAAGUGUAUGUACAACAAGGUUCAGCACAACGUUGAGACAUAUUAACUAUUUUUCAAGAAAAACAGCCAAACUGAAACUCUUUAGACUUCUAUACUAUCAUGUGUGCCUGCUUCCAAAACCUGACCUAAUUUGUUGGAAACUAUCUGCAAUAUUACUGUAAACAAUGCUGUGAAUGUAGGACAUUGUAAUUCUUUUCUUCCAUUGAAAACUGCAAGUGGAGUCACGCCACUUGUCUUCAAAAUUGUCUAUUUCCUUGCAAACUGGUAAAAUAAUGAUAAAAUAAAGUGUUCUGUUCAUACAGUUUAAAUGUAAUGAUGUUCAAAAUGAAAAAAAAAUCCAUUCAGGUAUGGUCUGCAGUAAUACAGCAGAGAGAAGAUGAACCAGUCUGGCAUACAAAAUAAAAGGAAGCAGAAUUUGAGAAUUUGGAACACCUUACAUUGUAAUAUUUAAAGAAAAAAAAAUUAAAUGUAACCUACCCAAACUCAAUCAGUGGUGCACAGACAGAGAAAAAGAACUAAUUACUACUAUUAUUUCUUUCAUUCUCAGACAAGAACUUAAAUUAUCCUCUUGAAUGCAUGGAAGAUUGUUGGAAAAGACAGCAGCCUUCUUCUUUACAACAUAUUCCUCAGAGCUCCAAGAGAUAAAUCAUUAGAGCUAUGAGGAUCUUUCUCUGUAAAACUUCCAGAGCAUAGCCAAUAUUAUAUUCCUUUAGAGAUCCUCGCCGCCCUGGGGGCCUGGUUGAUAGUCUACAGCCCCAGUACUUCAGCCAGACCCUCUGCCUUAUUUAGCAUGGCUACUGCAGCAAGGACAUAAUCUAUACUGGCUUUCUAUCCAAAAUAUAUGCAAGGCACAAGAAAGAAUAUACCCAAAACACUGAUCACAGCUUAUGACCUUCAGAACAAAUAUCUCUGGAUGGCAAUACUGAAUCUUCUGAUCCAAACCAUCAGGAAACAUUUCUUUAUAGGCAAAAAAGGCUUCUGUGUAUUGUACAAAAAAUAGUUAUGUAAACCAGA